AACACAUAGCACGCGAAACACAAACACAUUCACCAAAUGUGUGUGUGAAUUGUUUUACGCGCAUUUGCAACGUGCUUCCAAUUACAAAUUCCCACUUACGAAUACAAAUUCCCACUUACGAAUGUGUGGAUCGUUUUGAUACCCGUCAUGCGCAACUGAGAAGAACACAUGCAUUUUUUUAACUGGAGCCCGUCUUCAGCCAAUCAGACGUCUUCUUCUUAAACAGCCAAUCACAAGGGCUGGGCUGUUUCGUUACGUCACUGCUGUGCGCCUUCAAGUCCGGUGUACUGAGUGACAAGUGACAAAUGGGGAGCUUUUGUAAAAGUAGGAGCCCCGUUUUUGACAGCUCAACUCGACCGCGGGGACUAUCGAUGCAAGCUGAAGACGUCCCAUCCAUUUUGAGUGGGAGGACCUCCCAUGCACUUCAAAUGUAUUGGAUGUCAACUGGUGAAAAACUCAUUGAACCGCUCAGCAGAGGGAUGAUGAGAGCAAGAUUAGAUGUCUAAUACUGUACUAUAUGUGGCACAUUUUUAACAGGCUUUUUUUCCGCUAAAUAAGUCUUUUUAAGAUUACUUUCUCCAUUUCAAGCCUAUUUGAAAGUCAUACUUGGGAAAAUUCAGACUUCUUAAUGUAUGAUUGUGAUGUCUAUGCUUAAACCAAUUUAAGACCAUUUUAAAAGGAAAAAAAUAGACAUUAUAAGCCUGUUAAAAAUGCUACCUACAGUGACAGUAUUUAAAGGAUGGUAGUCUAUUACGGAUAUAAAAAAAUAUAUUUUUUGAAAGACUUGGAGCAACAGAGCUUUCUUGCCAAAUGAAUCACAUUUGAUACACUUAGGAUUUAGAACUCUUUCCUCAAAAAAAAAAAAAAAAAAAAAAAAUGGAUGCAAGUCAACUCAUGCAUCUGCAUGUUCCAUGAGAAAAACAGGAUUUAACAAGGAAAAUAGAUAUUAGAGCGCUUAUUACACAUUUUUCUUUACAAAUUUGGAAAAAAAAAAAGGUUUAAGACCUUAUUUUUCACAUUUUGUGAUUCUCUGACAAUUGCUCCAUAUUGCAGGCAUUAAGGGGUUAAGACCUGCCACAUGAAUUUUACUACCUUUUUAAACACUUUUUUUUAUUGCGACAAACCUAAUAAGUGAUCAAUGAUGGCAAGAGAGGAUAAAGCGCAGCAGCAAAUCCUCAGAUCUGUUCUUUGGAUGCCUUUGAAAGUAAAUAGUGACAUUGAGAGCAAUCAGGAGUUCAAUUAUGUGAGGUGAGGAGACCAAGUAAGUUUUGAGACAUUUUUUUAAUUUAAAUAGACAUCUCAGACUCCCAGCCUGUAGGAGGGCACAGGCUAGAUCUCCUCGAGCCUUCAGAACUUCGGGAAGGUGGGUCUGGUUGUGCCUGAGAUCUCCAUUGGCCAUAUACUCUUCCGCAAACUGAAAUGGCAUUUUAGGCAUUCUGUUACAUAUCAGUGCUAAACAACAACAGCAGCAAAGUUUUACUGCAGAGACUCCGAAAUCUUAAAAUCAUUACCUUUAAUGUGAAAACCCCACAGCUACUGUUGUUCUGCUGCUUGUUAUGGGCCACAGUUUUGGUAGUCCAAGUUUCUAUUUGGAACUCACGGCCCGCCAACCUCAAGAAGUUCCUAAUUAUUGUUUUAUAAGCAAAACAAUGAAGAUGAACAUUGAACUAUUAACUUCCAUAUUAACAUAAUACUAGGAAUUUAAACUUUCUGAAGCGGUUACCUCCAAUUCCGCAAGAUUUUGCUCAUAUUUGUCCUCGUUACUCAAGGGAUCGUUGAUCACCAGUGUUCUCUUAGAAAUGUGGACAAUCUAUAAAAGGUUAGUUCCUUUGUGUAAUUCUGCACAAUGACAGAUUUAUGUAGUUAACUUAAUGAAAUUGAACUUCUGUAUGGCAUCAGCUAAAUUAAUAGCUAUAUAUAAUACAUUCCAGAAUCGGUAGGUCUUAAGAAAAUAUAAGAAACCCACUAACCACUAAAAUCCAAUGAGCGCAUACAGGACAGGACAGGACAAAUACACUUUUUUUUUCAACAGGGAAUUUCCUCUGAAGAACAUACAAUACCAAAUUAUUGUUAUUUUGGGUUACUGGCGUUAAAAUAAUAUAGCUAAAUAUUGGCAUGAAAUGGAUUACCUUUCUAACAGGCUGAAAUUUUCCCAAAAGCAGACUCCCAGCUACCACAGCAGAGAGUUGGUGAAUGGGCUCCUGUUAAAAAAAGGGGUAACAACAUUACAACUAUACUCCGGCAAAAAAUAAAUGCAUUGAGAAAAACUAUAUCCAGCACUUGGCUGCUGCCUUUCAAUGAGGAUAUGCAUGUAUGCAUCAAAUACUUGCAUAGCAAAAUAAAAAAAUUGGCAAAAGGCAAGAAUCUUUGUUAUUUGCUAAACACUUAUUGCUCCCACUGACUUCAUCAGACAGCCAGCCGUUGCCUUUUAGCGUAUGAAAAGAUGUGUCGUAUAAUUUAUACGGUCCAACGACAGCCUCCACCUUGCCUUGAUCCUCUGCAGCCCACAGUAAUUUAACUGAAAACACAACAUUGUUAAAUCAAAAAAGUUAUUAUUUACGGCACUUGACCAGAUGACCAUCCGGUCAAAAUUAUCUACUGAAUAGGCCAAACCACCAAACAAAUCCUGUCGGUCGUUCACCAAUUUUGUAAGAGCUGUACGAAGUAGAAGGGUACAAUUAGAUAUACAUUUUAGAACACCAACAACAAC